CCUACGGGAGGCAGCAGUGGGGAAUAUUGGACAAUGGGGGCAACCCUGAUCCAGCCAUGCCGCGUGUGUGAAGAAGGCCCUCGGGUUGUAAAGCACUUUCAGUGAGGAAGAACGCCUGGUGGUUAAUACCCAUCAGGAAAGACAUCACUCACAGAAGAAGCACCGGCUAACUCCGUGCCAGCAGCCGCGGUAAUACGGAGGGUGCGAGCGUUAAUCGGAAUUACUGGGCGUAAAGCGCGCGUAGGUGGCUUGAUAAGCCGGUUGUGAAAGCCCCGGGCUCAACCUGGGAACGGCAUCCGGAACUGUCAAGCUAGAGUGCAGGAGAGGAAGGUAGAAUUCCCGGUGUAGCGGUGAAAUGCGUAGAGAUCGGGAGGAAUACCAGUGGCGAAGGCGGCCUUCUGGACUGACACUGCCACUGAGGUGCGAAAGCGUGGGUAGCAAACAGGAUUAGAUACCCUAGUAGUC
rnacentral:rRNA from 1 species